CAAAAUGUCAAACAAGAAUUUUCCUCUUACGCAUGCCUAUAAAAAAUACCAACCGGUAGUCCUUAUCUAUCUCUCCCUCUCCUUUUCCUUUCCCCUUUUCUAUUUGAGAGUUCCAUCUACUUUAUAGUCUUUUUUGGUUCCAUUGUACCGAUUAUGUUUUCAUAUUUGAUUCGUUGGCUUUUGGGUAUAACGGGGGCUUGAUCUGUAAAACUUUGCUUCUGGGACGUAUUGGCUAAUUCUCAGGUCGAAUUCCUAUUUCCAGGUUUUAACAAUUCACAUAUUGGAUAUUCUCGUGUUGAAUUCAUCUUUCUAGGCAUUAACAAUCGCUCUCUACGAUCAAUUAUUGAUUCUCCCCGUCCCCUUCAAUGAUUAUUUGUGCUUUUUUCUUCAACGAUUUGUGCUUCUUUCUUCAACUGCUCUUUUUAAAUUUGUUUAGUUAUUUUGGUGAAACACUUCACUUAUUCAUAAUUCGUUAUUCCCUAUUGUGUUCUGAUAUCACUCUUGCAACUUCUAAUGGUCCAUUUACACUUGAGGUACUAGAUAUUUGUACUUCCUUUAUUUUUAUAAUUGUGUAUUCAGGGUUUUCAGGUAAUGAGGGGAAAAAUUGAAAUCCGUGCUUUAAAAGUAGAUGCAUUAAAAACAUGCUUCAAUCCAUUGUAUCCUUGAUGCCCUGAUGCUUUGUCCACAUAAUUGAAAGAAACAUAUGUUGUGCCACUGGAUAAUGCAAAAGAAAAGAUGAUUUACCUAUCUGUUACCAGUUAAAAUAUGCUAAGAUAACAAAUAAAGAACAAGUGAAAUAGUGUCCAUGCAAGUUUUUCUCUGUCUAAAAUUAGACUCAUCUACAAUUGUGGGUGUUUGGUGGUAGUAUAUCAUCAUUUAGGUAUAGUCAUUAAAUUCCCGUAGUAUUUUUCCUUGAAAUUGUACUUAAUAUUGGCUUUCCUUUGCUGCAGAUUUUAUAUCUCAAAUAUGAUUCAUGUUUUCUUUUCCGUUGGCACCUGAUGUACGUGCUUCUCUAUUAUGUUUUGGCUCAAUUGAUUGAAACUCCUGUUUUCCAGGUUGUUAAAGUCUUAUUUUGUGGUGGAAAACCUGUUUGUAAUGAGGAUAAAAAUACAAACUUUUAGAGUAGAUGCAUUGCAAGUAUGUACCAAUAACUUGCCGUGAUUUCAUAGAGCUUGCUUCGAUAUGGUAUUAUGAUAAUAUCAAAUUUCACAUAGUCAUCAAGCUUUCUUUUUCUUUAUCUUUCUCUUUUGUUGUUUAUUUUGAGAUUACUUCGGGUUCGGAUCUUAUUGUAUACUCUUCUUUUUUGUUUAUUUGAUUUGGAUGUUGGAUAUUAUUGUUUGUGUUGGAAUCUGUCUAUGGUAUUUAUAGGCCUAAAUGGCUUUUGUGAUUACUAUUUAUGGUAUUCAGAGGUUUAAAGAGCUGGAAAAGACAUAAGGCCAGUGACGUGUCACCUCUCAUUGCCCAGAUAAUUCAUUUAUCUUUUUUCUCCUUUAUUUGCGUUUUCCAGUCUAUUCUCUCACUUCUAUAUAAUACUACAAAGCACUGCUUAAUCCCUUGCUCCGAACCGUUUCGCCUCCCUUUUUUGAUGAACCGUUUCUUCCCUUAUUUCUAAUGGUAGCCUAUCAGUUACAACCAAACACAACCAAAACCACGCCUCUUCAAUCUUCUAUUCCAUGAAACCCCACAAUUUUAGAUUUCUUCAAACGAUAAUCAGAUGCGACAUAUUUUGGAUCAAUUCAACUCUCACUGGUUUCCAAACGCCGAAUCCUAGGGUGAAAUUACAACCAUUAGUUGGUAAUGUCUUCCUUCAUCCCUUUCCCAUCUAAGUUAUAUUUUUGUAUCAAUAGCUACUUUUAUUUAAUUAUUGUUCCUACUAUCGGAAUUUGAGAUGACUUACGACAAUAAUUUGCGAAUUUUGUGAGGUUUCUAAAAUAAUGUUAGCUUUCUUAAUGGUAAUUAUUUUAUUGAUAACACUCAUUCACACCCAAUAUUUACACCAACUCAAUUGGUUUAUAAUAUGUUUCUUUACAUAAUCUUUUAGCACUUAUUUAUAGUCAAUCAAUAUGAAUUUGGAUAUUGAAAGUAGACAGACAUAUAUUAAUUUGGGGAUUCUUUAAUUUUCUGAUCUUUUUUUCUUUCUUUAAUUUCGUGUUAUAAUGAUACGGUGUUGAUUUGUUCCGUACUUUCACAACAGUGGCAGCAAGGUAGUACCGGUGGUAGUAACAGUCGCUCUGCCCCUACUCCUUCCAUUGAGGUUUACCAUCUUUUCGUUUUAGUGAUUGCAUAAAAGCUUAUACAUAUGCAGGUUUUACUUUCCCUGAAUUGAUCGGUUGUUAUAUUUUUUUCUCUUGAAUUGUGUAAGGGUAACAAAUCUGCUACAACGUGAUAUAUCGCCUCCCAUAAAACAUUGGUGUUAUUGCCAGAGGAUCAAGGUGCACUGGCUGUCCCAGUUGUUAUUAUAUCACAUUAAUUAUUUACGAUACCUAUAAGACAUAAUCUUUUUAGGUUGUUUUAACUUUUGAGCUGCUUAAUUUUGGAAUUGUGAUUCAAAAGCGUUUAACUUUAUUGAAAGCGGAUAUUUGACAAUUUCUUAUUUAUUUCUUGACCAUUGAUGUGUUAUUUGUAUAUACGAAUUUGAGAAUCAAACAGGAAUACAUUAUGUGCUUAUCUGCCCUCUUUUCAAGUCUUUCCAAUUAUCAGUAUAAUGCCAGCAGAAUGAUACAAAAUAUCCAUUUAGUUUCUGCAGAAGGAGAGCUGCAUAUGGCGCCGUUUUGUUUUUAUCUGGCAGGUGAAGUUUUUGCUUGCAUUUCCUAACUUUUCUUUUCCUUUCUGAUGUCGCUAUUCACUGAAUUGUUCUCAACUUUUGUCACAACGGCAUCGAAUUAUGAUGGCAUUUAAGACUGAGCCUAAAUGGAAUGAGUUAAUAAUUUCAUUGUUGUGACGAUGGUUGCUCAUGAAAUGUCUAAAUUCCAUUAGGCUUUAGCUGUGGGUGAUUUACACCAUUUAUGAUGAAAGCAUUUGCCUUUUCUUUUGCUUUUAGGUGUAUCUAUAAAGGUGAAAAUAGGUCAGAGGAGCUAGAAAAUGCUUCAGCCUCUAGAAAAUAUUGAUAAGACCUUUGAGAAACUCGAAAUGAUAUGCCAUUCCUUUCAGGUACUGAUAUUCUUAAAUUGGUAGUACUAUUUAUUAGGUUAUCGUCUUGAUUAUAUAUUUGGCUCUAUCACAUUGGUUUUUUCCUUUCCUUGCAAAGCAUUCCUUUUCAUUUUUUAUUGGUUUUCAUUUUCCUAAUUCCAGUUAUGUACUUUGUUACCAGUACUUUUUCCCAGACUGACACCUCCUGAAUUAAGCUACCCUUGGCACAUCAAGUAUAAAUCUCAACUUCCAAAGCUUUGGCUGUAAACUGUUUUUGUUUUUGGAUAAAAGACAUAAGAAAAUGAAUCUUGAUUUCGAGUUUUCACAAUCAGUAAGUUGGUUUUAUUUCCCUUUAAGAAUUCAACUUCCAUAUUAUUCAUUUGACGCAAAGCUUAUUGAGUUUACAUAAAGAAGUUUUUGUUCCUCUCUCGAGGUUCGAUUAUAAUUUUGCUUUAUGUUAGAAUCUCUUGAUUCUAUUUUUAAUACUUGCAUUCCUUAAAUUUAUAAUUGAAAAUGAAAACCUCAAUGCAAAUAUUUUUGGCUUCUUUGGAGUUCUAUGAAAGUUUUCACUCUAAAGGUUAGGCUUUUAUCCCUUGAAGUUCUCCCUCUAUUAGUACUUUGGUUGCUUUGUUAUUUCAGUAUUUACCUUCCUGAUAUUGGUUUUAUUUUAGAAUGUGGGAUAGCUGGAUCGAUCUCCCUUCCGUUCAGCUUAUCCCUUUCAAGAGCAAUAAUAUGAUUUGAUUCCUUUUCCCUAUUGCGCUUUUAGUCUCUCAGAAAAAAUAAUCUUCUAUAUAUAUAUAUAUAUAUAUAUAUGAAGGCAGGACAUAGGCCGUCUGAUGUGGCAUGCCUCAAUGACCAGGAAACCUAUUCAUCUAAUUUCUCAAAUUUUCACACAACAAUCUCAAUUAUUAAUUACUUAACUCGCCACAAAAAUGUAACGAAUCCCCAAAGCCACGUCUAUUCUCUAUAACCCUUUCAGAACAAAAUUCUGGCGGCUUCAAUUAUAGAGAACAAAUCGAGACUCUACAAAAAACAACGGAAUGUCGAUAACGGCAUGCCGAAUGCGGAGAACUUUUUAUUGAGGUUCAGAAGGAGGAAAACGCCACAUUGGCGGAUGCUCAGGGUAUUAUAUCCUCAUGACCUUAAGAUUCUCAAUAAUUUUCCAGCCGAGAAGUCUUCAUCUUGAUGCAUCCUUCAAGUAUCCUUCUGCUGAUAUCAUUCCUCUUCUUAAUCCUAAAUGUGGGGUAAGAUACUGCUGCUGGUUUUUUCCUACUUCAUUUUUUGCAUGCUUUUUGGAGUAACUAUCAGUUAACUCUUCUUUCUUUAUGUAUUAGAAUUCCCUUCUUUGGUGAAUUUACUUGCCAGAAUGGCAGAGCGUAGGUAUCCAAAAUGCAUCUUUAAAUUUGAGAAAUUUUUCAUUAGAACUAUAUGAUUUUAAUCACUUUGAUUGAUUUUAAGUUAGUUGCUAUACUUGCCUCUAUUUUGAAUUUUUCCUCUGCCAAAGAAUGAAUCAAGAUGGCCAUGUUAAGUUCUACGCCAUAGGACAAUGGUGGAAUGCAGAUGUAUUCCAUGUGUGAGGGUAUUCUUUAUAUUCAACUUUCCUGUAUCUUUAUAUUCUUGAUUUCCUGCUUGAUUUUAGGUAACUUGCAGAAUCAAAAUUGUAUCUUUUGGUUAAUUUGUCACUCAUUUAUGACAUUCAAUUACUCUUGAACGGAAUAUAGAUAAAAAGUGUAAUCCAACUCCAUAUUCCCCGCCGUGUUUCUGCAAAUUAGUGAUUUUGAUAAGGCAGCAAUUAAAACUAGCGGAAGGGAGGCUGCUACCAACUUUGAACCAAGUGCAUAUGAAGGGGAAACAAUCUCUGAACCUCAAGAGUGAAGGUUUGAUAAAAAGUUCUUGCUCAUUUUCAAACUAAUGUCGCUAAUUCCAAGCAACAGUGCAUUAUCUAUAUCUGGAUCUGUCUCAUUUACGAUGCUUAUGACACAAAUAGCCAACAUGAUCGUGAUUUGAACUUGGGGAUAUCAAUCUCUUCUUCAAAGGAAAAUGACAGUAUCAUGAAGCGUUCGAACUAAUUAAGAGUUUCAUUUUUAAACUUACUCUGAGGAGGCGAGGGUGGCGUCCACUUGGAGACAAAGCAUCAAAGGCUGGAGAAGAGUACAAAGUAAUUAAUUUAAUCUUCACAAGACUGAGGUUGUAGCAAAUGAUAAGAUGAAAUAAUAAGAUGAAAUGAACAUAGUUCAUAGGGGCAAACGCCGGAGUCAAUAACACUGUUAGUACGUAGUUGUGUGGUGUUAGUACGAUGUUUUGUUUUCGACCUUCAUUUGUUUUCUACAGGCUGGAGAAGAGAAUAAAAUCUCUUUCACUUCUUUUGAA